GCCAGGCACGGUGGUGCAUGCCUGUAAUCCCAGCAGCUUGGGAGGCUAAGACAGGAGGGUCACAAGUUCAAAGCCAGCCUCAGCAAUGAUGAAGCACUAAGCAACUUGGUGAGGCACUAAGCAACUCAGUGACACCCUGCAUGUA
rnacentral:sRNA from 1 species